CAGAUGUUCAAGUCCCUAAAACGGGGCCCCCGGGCUGUGCUCAUCAGUGCUUUGGGUGGCCUCGGACUCCCCAGGCUCAGCGGCCAUGCCAGGGGCACCAGCUGGAUUGUCCAGCCCGGUGGCUCGCACAUCCCAGGGGCACAGUUAGGGGUUGGGGGCCAAGGCUGUUGAAAGCGAGCACCAGUCCACGGGGGUGUGGCCUCAGAAACACGGGCUGCAGCCCGGAGAAGGGCUGGCCGGGCAGGGGACAGGGUCCAUGGGGGGCAGGGGCUGGGGAGCCAGCUGCCCCAGGCAGGCCCUAUUCCCAGGCCGCAGCUGCCGGCUAGACCCUAGGCCCAGUGGGGUGCAGCUUGUCGGGUGCUGCUGAGGGCUGUGGGUGGUGCCCAGCUGCGUGCCCAUUGGCCCCAUGCCCAGGGUGCUUAGCCCAUGCCAUGGUCCUGCUGGCUCAGGUGACCCAGGGCUCCCAGCUUUUCUCAUCUGACGCUCAGGCACCAGGUGGGGAAGGCCCUGGCCUGCCACACCUGCCCUGGGAGCGAAGUGCUAGGCUUCCACUUUUUUUCUUUCGCUGUGAACACGAAUGGCUUCAAGCGACUAGAAAAGAGUUAUUUUAAAGCACGGUUAGACGUCCCCGUCGGCUAAGAUGGAGCAACUGGGACCAGAGGUACCACCUGCUUGAGCAGAAGCAGCAGAAACAAGAGGACACAAGGUGUCGAAGCCACUGGACACGCGGCAGCUGAGAACAGUGCCUCGGAGACCCGGGACACCAGGGAACUCGGCCCGGGACGGGGCGGAGCAGAAGAGGCCUCCUGCUCCAUGGUCUCGGUUGGUGCCAUGUCGCCGGGGGUGUGUGAGAUGACCAAGCUGUGUGUCAUAACCCCCAAGGCAGCAGGUCACGAAUCACAUGAAAUAUAAAUGGUCUAAAUGCUCCAACUGAAAACCAAAGGUUGUCAGAUUGGAAAAACACCAAGACCCAAUGAUGUGAUUCCCCCAAGAAAUCCACUUUAAAUACAAAGACUUAAGAACAGGUUUUAAAAAACACAAAACUGGAAAAAGUUAAAGCAGGCUACCCCUGAUCACAGAGAGCUGGCGUGACCACACUAACAUCCAAGCAGAAGCACCUCAGGCCUCGGCGGCGAGACAGGCGCGUGGGCUGGGGCACAGCCACCAGGCUGCGGGAGGAGCGGAGGCUUACACACCCCCACGUGUGGUGA
rnacentral:lncRNA from 1 species